GUACGUACGUACGUACGUACGUACGUACGUACGUAUGUACGUAAUACGUACGUGCGUGCGUCCGUGCGUGCGUGCGUGCGUGCGUGCGUGCGUGCGUGCGUGCGUGCGUGCGUGCGUGCGUGCGUGCGUGCGUGCGUGCGUGCGUGCGUGCGUGCGUGCGUGCGUGCGUGCGUGCGUGCGUGCGUGCGUGCGUGCGUGCGUGCGUGCGUGCGUGCGUGCGUGCGUGCGUGCGUGCGUGCGUGCGUGCGUGCGUGCGUGCGUGCGUGCGUGCGUGCGUGCGUGCGUGCGUGCG
rnacentral:lncRNA from 1 species